UACGUAGGGGGCAAGCGUUGUCCGGAUUUAUUGGGCGUAAAGAGCGUGUAGGCGGCUUUACAGGUCCGUUGUGAAAACUCGAGGCUCAACCUCGAGACGCCGGUGGAAACCGUAAAGCUAGAGUCCGGAAGAGGAGAGUGGAGUUCCUGGUGUAGCGGUGAAAUGCGCAGAUAUCAGGAGGAACACCCGUGGCGAAAGCGGCUCUCUGGGACGGUACUGACGCUGAGACGCGAAAGCGUGGGGAGCAAACAGG
rnacentral:rRNA from 1 species